rnacentral:rRNA from 1 species
CCCUUAGAUGUCCUGGGCCGCACGCGCGCUACACUGACAUGUUCAACAAGUUUCUCCUAGUUCGACAGGACUGGGAAAUCUUUGAACGCAUGUCGUGAUAGGGAUAGAUCAUUGCAAUUAUUGAUCUUGAACGAGGAAUUCCUAGUAAACGCGAGUCAUCAGCUCGCAUUGAUUACGUCCCUGCCCUUUGUACACACCGCCCGUCGCACCUACCGAUUGAAUGUUUCGGUGAAGAUUCCGGAUAGGACUGAUUUGAUUUAUUUCAUUUCUGACCUAAAAGCUAUCUAAACCUCAACACUUAGAGGAAGGUGAAGUCGUAACA